AUGCGCACUGACUAGCGCAGCCCCCUAAACAUGCAUCCGCGCCUGCGCAGCCGCGGGUCGCCCAGGGUUGGGAUGUUGGUGUCGGCUGGGGGCUGCUGUGAGGCGCUUGGUAGCACCCAGUCCUGAUACUCUCCAGUUACCCGGUAGGCGGGGCUCGGACACAAAGAAAAGAGAUCUUUGGGGGCUUGGAUGGAGGAACAGGAAAAGAGGAGCCAGGCUUUUUUGGAAAAUUGGCGGCAGCGGUGGCAUACGGGAAACUGAAAUCUUUAUCUAAUCUCAUCCUUUGUAUAUUCGUCUUGGAUUUGCUGAAGAAAAUUAAAAGGCCAGGCCUACCACUCCUAUGGCACAGUAUUGAUGAGAGACAUCAGUGGAGCUCCCCACCUCCACCCCAGGCUUGGAACUUAGGGAAUGACUGGUUUUUGUCAUUUCACACAACAGCUGAAGGAUUCUGUCCCCACCUCGUCCUCUGUGAAGUCUGCUGGACGUACCUGCCAGAAUCUUCUGAAGAUGACGUUUGCUGAACACUGACCCACAGGGGUUUGAUGGAUUAUUGACAAUGAGACAAGCUGUCUUUUCAUCAAUUAGAUAUUCCAGUUGUUUCAGGUCAAUUUCCCAAGAUUUCUCUGGCUGGAGAGAAAGAAAGGAUGAGACUAAGAUGAUUCUGAAACAUUUAGGGGGAAUCCUCACUUAUCUCAAGGGUCCAAUGUAAGCAAUAAAGUCUGUCUCUGGCUUCAACCACCAC
rnacentral:lncRNA from 1 species